rnacentral:tRNA from 1 species
UCCCUGGUGGCUCAGACAGUAAAGCAUCUGCCUGCAAUGCGGGAGACUCGGGUUCGAUCCCUGGGUUGGGAA